GUCGAACGGUAACAGGAAGCAGCUUGCUGCUUCGCUGACGAGUGGCGGACGGGUGAGUAAUGUCUGGGAAACUGCCUGAUGGAGGGGGAUAACUACUGGAAACGGUAGCUAAUACCGCAUAACGUCGCAAGACCAAAGAGGGGGACCUUCGGGCCUCUUGCCAUCAGAUGUGCCCAGAUGGGAUUAGCUAGUAGGUGGGGUAACGGCUCACCUAGGCGACGAUCCCUAGCUGGUCUGAGAGGAUGACCAGCCACACUGGAACUGAGACACGGUCCAGACUCCUACGGGAGGCAGCAGUGGGGAAUAUUGCACAAUGGGCGCAAGCCUGAUGCAGCCAUGCCGCGUGUAUGAAGAAGGCCUUCGGGUUGUAAAGUACUUUCAGCGGGGAGGAAGGCGAUGCGGUUAAUAACCGCGUCGAUUGACGUUACCCGCAGAAGAAGCACCGGCUAACUCCGUGCCAGGAGCGGCGGUAAUACGGAGGGUGCAAGCGUUAAUCGGAAUUACUGGGCGUAAAGCGCACGCAGGCGGUCUGUCAAGUCGGAUGUGAAAUCCCCGGGCUCAACCUGGGAACUGCAUCCGAAACUGGCAGGCUUGAGUCUCGUAGAGGGGGGUAGAAUUCCAGGUGUAGCGGUGAAAUGCGUAGAGAUCUGGAGGAAUACCGGUGGCGAAGGCGGCCCCCUGGACGAAGACUGACGCUCAGGUGCGAAAGCGUGGGGAGCAAACAGGAUUAGAUACCCUGGUAGUCCACGCCGUAAACGAUGUCGACUUGGAGGUUGUGCCCUUGAGGCGUGGCUUCCGGAGCUAACGCGUUAAGUCGACCGCCUGGGGAGUACGGCCGCAAGGUUAAAACUCAAAUGAAUUGACGGGGCCCGCAC
rnacentral:rRNA from 1 species